AUGGCACCCAAGAGCAACGCGACCCGGAUGGCUGCGGUUUUCGUGGUUCUUAUGAUCAUGUCUUCCACCUUAUCAUCAUCGUCCUGCUAUGCACGUACAAUUGAAGAUGGAGUGGAUUCUCCAGUGUGCUUCCAUGUGGAAAAGUGCCAAGACCGUUGCCAGACUGCAUGCAGCAUCAGCGGCAAGCCCUCGACUGGAGCCUACUGCAAGAUCGAUCAGUGUUGUUGCGCCUAG
rnacentral:rRNA from 1 species